rnacentral:tRNA from 1 species
UGUGGCGCAGAACCGAGCCGUUUUCACCGGUUUUUGGUACCGGCAUUCGCAGGUUCGAAUCCUGCCGCCCCAG